ACCAGGCUCAGUGGCACAUGCCUGUAGUCACAGCUACUCAGGAGGCUGAGGUGGGAGGAUUGCUUGAGCCCAGGAGUUCUGGGCUGUAGUGUACUAUGCCAAUAGGGUGUCCGCACUAAGUUCGGCAUCAAUAUGGUGACCUCCCGGGAGCGGGGGACCACCAGGUUGCCUAAGGAGGGGUGAACUGGCCCAGGUUGGAAAUGGAGCAGGUCAAAACUCCCAUGCUGAUCAGUAGUGGGAUCGCACCUAUGAAUAGCUACUGCACUGCAGCCUGGGCAACAUAGCGAGACCCCCGUCUCU
rnacentral:SRP_RNA from 1 species